rnacentral:rRNA from 1 species
AUUGAACGCUGGCGGCAGGCCUAACACAUGCAAGUCGAGCGAGCGGCGGACGGGUGAGUAAUGUAUGGGGACUGCCCGAUAGAGGGGGAUAACUACUGGAAACGGUGGCUAAUACCGCAUACUAUCGGAUAACCCAUAUGGGAUUAGCUAGUAGGUGGGGUAAAGGCUCACCUAGGCGACGAUCUCUAGCUGGUCUGAGAGGAUGAUCAACCACACUGGGAAGGAGAACAUGCCCAUGUUCCUACGGAGGCAGCAGUGGGGAAUUUUUCACAAAUGGCUCAAGGCUUAUGCCGCCCAUCCGGGGGUAUGAAGAAGGCCUUAGGGUUGUAAAGUACUUUCAGCGGGGAGGCGUUACCCGCAGAAGAAGCACCGGCUAACUCCGUGCCAGCAGCCGCGGUAAUAC